CGCCCCGGCUGCGGCAGCCCCGUCUCCGUCCCCCGGAGCCCUCCCCGAUGGGGGCGACCUCAGCGGCCUCGCUGCUCCUCCUCCUCCCUCCUGGCGGCUGGCUUCAGCCAAAAUGAACAAUGGCCUUACAAAAAUACUCUGGAAAGGAGCAGGACACCCCAGAAAAGGCUGCAGCGGUAAUAUCUACUAUGCAUCAAAGAAUUCAGGCACAGAGGACAUCUUGAAGCACAGCUCCUGUUUUCACCGGCACCAAGUUUUUAAAGCAAGUGCUCCCCUCUGAGUGCUACAGGAGGGCUCUGAAGUGAGUAAGGUCCCUGAUGUAGAUAAAAAAAGCUCUGUCACUGUCCUACACCCUUCCAGCCUCUGAGAACCUUCAGUGUAGGCAGCCCAUUAUUCAAAGUAAGAAUGUUCACAACCACACUCUAAGGGUAAGAAUUAAAAAUGUAUUAGUGAUAGUGAUUAAUAAUUCAAGUGUGAAUUUCAAGAAGCUAGCAAAGAUUCCAAGCACUGUAUACACAUGUGUUUGUCUAUGUGUGGAGGGUGAUGUUGUCUGUGUAUGUUUCAGUGAUCUAUUUGAAAAAAUAAAGUAAAAUUACCUACGUAUUGUGUAUGUGAAAAGAAGUUACAUAUUUGGUUGGUUAUUCAUUCCACAUCCAUUUGACAGUGAGAUAGACUUUGGGAGACUGCAUCUUAUGUACUCUCCCCUCUGAAUUCAUAACAACUUGAGAUCCUUUUAGUGAUUUUAUUGGAAUUUGUUUUUAAGAAAUAUUUUUCUCUGGAGAAAGAAAAAAAUUAAUGCUGCUGAUAUUGAAUACUUGAUAUUAUCUAUGUGAAUCUAUCAAAUAAUCAUUUGGGUAAGUCUUCUACUGGAUUAGCCUAUUUACCCCCAUUACCACUUGUCCUGCAGUUUCAUUUGAAUGCAAAAUUUUAGUUCCCUCUGCUAUCUCACCAGUUAUGUCUUCUAAUCACAGUCCAGACCUAAAGGGUCUUAGUGUCACCGUUCUUGGUGUCACUAGUGUUUGUAUGAUUACAACAUGAUUACACGCUUUUUCUAACUGAUUUUUGCUCCAUGCACACACUGUUCAAACUGCUUUCAUGCAUGGGCAAGCUGGCAUGGCUCUUGUGCUCAUUUCCAGCAAAUACUCAGCGUAGUCAUUAAAACCAUAUUGGUAAUUCACCUCAGCCACCUUCUGUAAGCUUUAUAUCAACCACUAGUCAUUGUCAGCCUGCGUCCCAUUGCAUCCUCACUCAUGAACACAGAAAGCCCAUCCACUAACAUAAAAUUUUAAUCCUAGUUUUGCUAUGUGAAUCCUAGUUUUGCUAUGCUAUUGUGAAACAGAUAGAUGCACUUCAUUUUGUGUAUGUGUGAAAAAUUCGACUAGAAUUAGAUACUGCAGAAUUCUAAUGAUAAAAUAUAGCCAAAGUACAUCUUUCUGCUGAGAUCAGUUUUCUUUAUAAGCAUCAAACACAUCUAUUCAAGGCCCAAUAAAAUU